GAACACGAUUUAGAAUUGCAAAGUCAAGUGGGUCCCCUCUCUUGAGCUGGGGGCGGCUUGGGGAAAUUCCCCGGACACCAGGGCAGAGAGUGCCAGCGUUUAAGCGCAGACUCCCUCGGCGAUGAAGCUUUGCGAAGAUGGCUCGCUUCGGCGAGUCGGAGCCUUUGUGCGGAAUCGUGAGGACUGAUGGUCAUACUAAAAGUUAUGCAAUUGGCUCAGCGACAUAUCGCGGACGUCGUGCCGUGGCUGCUUGGAGCUAACCCGACGGGGAUUACUCAUGUUGUGUU
rnacentral:RNase_MRP_RNA from 2 species